ACUGACGGAAGAAAGGGAAAGAGCAGACCUGAGAGGGUCCCAGGAGAUAAUCAGGACCCUAACUGCAGGAAGCAUGGUCCGGGUGAGCAGUGGCCACGCCCACGACAGGAAGCCACACCCCCAUGGCCUGAAUCCACAUCCCACAGGGAAGUUUUAACCCGCAGGCCACGCCCUGACGAUGGCUGUACCCAAACCCCACGAAACUGAACCCCACACUUCUGUCGACUCCCCAGCACUGACCUGUGACUUCAAAAUGGAUGAUCGUGGAUGGGCCAUGUCGCUCAGUGCCCAACUCGCAGCGGCCCUUCUUUGCUAACAGGCAGGCUUCAGUCUCCGCCCUGUCAAGACUCCAUCUCUCCUCUGGCUCCGCCCCUCCUGCGCCAACCCCUCCCGUUGGCCCCAGCCUCUCACCUCCGCAAUCUGUGGACUUUCGACAAAGGACCCGUUGCCCAGGAAGUCCGCUGUGCAGAAAGACUACUGGGACCAGGAACCUCUCAGACGUGGGGAAGGAAGAACCGUCGAGACCCAAAGCAGGAGGAGAAAGGCUGGGUAUUCACGGGGCAAGGAUGAGGGAUAAAAAACCACCUUCCGUAA